GUAAAAUGGAACAAUCAGCAGGACGUGGGCAGGGACAAAUAAGUGAAUAAAAACUGGCCACCCCCAGCCAGCAGUGGCAACCUGCUCAGGUCCCCUUCCACACUGUGGAAGCUUUGUUCUUUCGCUCUUCACAAUAAAUCUUGCUGCUGCUCACUCUUUGGGUCCAUGCCACCUUUAAGAGCUGUAACUCCACAAAGGUCCGUGGCUUCAUUCUUGAAGUCAGCGAGACCAAGAACCCACCGGAAGGAACCAACUCUGGACAAAUCUUGGCGACCACGAAGGGACUACUGCCAAGUAGAUCGAGGCCAUCAAGCUACAGAUAGUCUUACAAAUGGAACCCCAAUGAGCUCAACUAACAACUUCUACUGAGGACCCCUGCACCAACCCGCUGGCCCUUUGACUGGCAUAAAGAGUUCCCCUCUGGAGGACACUACAACUGCAGGGCUCCUUCUUCAACCCAUCCAGCAGGAAGUAGCUACAGCGGUCAUCGCCCAAUUCCCAACAGCUCUUGGGGUAUCCUCUUUAGAGGGGUGAUUGAGAGGUGAAGCCAGCUAGACUUCCUGGGUUGAGUAGGGACUUGGAGAACUUUUCUGUCUAGCUAGAGGAUUGUAAAUGCACCAAUCAGUGCUUUGUGUCUAGCUGGAGGAUUGUAAAUGCACCAAUCAGCACUCUGUAAAAACACACCAAUCAGUGCUCUGUGUCUAGCUAGAAGAUUGUAAAUGCACCAAUCAGCACUCUGUAAAAAUGCACCAAUCAACACUCUGUGUGUAGCUAAAGGAUUGUAAAUGCACUGCAAUAGUUUUCAUUAAAUAAAAUCUAAUUUACUGCUUUAA